UACGUAGGUGGCAAGCGUUGUCCGGAAUUACUGGGCGUAAAGGGCGUGUAGGCGGCCAAUUAAGUCAGACGUGAAAACCCUGGGCUUAACCUGGGGACGGCGUUUGAGACUGAAUGGCUAGAGGAUCGGAGAGGGCAGUGGAAUUCCCAGUGUAGCGGUGAAAUGCGUAGAUAUUGGGAAGAACACCAGUGGCGAAGGCGGCUGCCUGGACGACACCUGACGCUGAGGCGCGAAAGCUAGGGGAGCAAACGGG
rnacentral:rRNA from 1 species